GCUUGUCCAGGUUCCUCCUCUCCUCCCAGGCAGAAUGGCCAUGGCUGGAGAUGUUCUGAGCACUGAAGUAUCUGCUACUUUCAGGGAGUGGGUGUAUCCUAACCCCACCUGACAGCACUUUACAUCACCAGAAGAAACUCCACAGUGAUGGGUUUGUCUGUAUGGUCCAGAGCAGAGCAUAUGGAUGAAAAUAUUUGCUGUAGGGUAUUCCUGGCUGUUGAAUAUGAAAUCCAGGCCCCACGUAAGGCUGUGGAAGAGUUACUAUGGACUUCUAUGGGGUCAUCAUUUGACGCCAAAAGGUUUCUUUUCUUGACAAGGAAUGUGACAUUUGCAUUUAAAUUUCCUGGGGUUCAUCUGUUUGUCAGCACCAAGGCCAUCUCUGUGAUUUACAGAAUCCAACAUCCCUUUCCUGAAUUGACUAACAAAUGCAGCAGAAGUUUUUGAAGCACUUCUUGUGCAAAUCUCCACCACAAAAGAGAAGCAGUCACCUCUCCAGGUCCUGAACUGCCUCAAGGAAAAUGGAAACAACAUUUACAGGUGAGGUGAUGCAAAACUUUUUAUAUAGGGAACCCUGCAUUAUUAAAGAUCCCUUUGUGUCUCCAGUGCCUGUGAAGGGAGACAAGAUGCUGGUUGUUAUUCUUUGUCUACUGCUCCUUAGUUCAUUACCAUUUUUCUGCUUCACAGCAUUAACCAUUACAUGGAGCAACACUCUCCCUGUGCUUCACACAUCACAAAGAGCCGCCCAUGCUUCUCAGAGAUGCUCCUGGCUUUCAUGGCAGUGCAGGGCAGCCAGUGGAACAAAAGACUUCAAAGCAGGCAAAUUAAGGAUGAUCUCUAAGAUAAACAUCUAUUAUUCAGUAUGUCUGAAGUCCAUACCUCUUGCUUUGUGUUGCCCAGAGCCUGCUCUUUGUCUGCUGUCAGGUUUUCAGUGUGCCACUGGGGGUGACUGACUUUUCCAUUCAUUUCUAGGCAUAACUAUUUUCUCACUAUUCAGUCAAGCUUUGUGACAUUUGCACGAAUUCCACCAGGUCUGAGGAAGAGAAGUAUAUUGCACAUUGCCAGUGAAACAACCCAAGUCACUAUUCUAGUAUUUCUGCCACACUCCUCUGUUUCUGUCCAAAGUAAUCCAAAAGCUUUACCUUUUGCACCUUUAGAUAGCCUCAGUGAUACCUUUUAUACCUAUUGAUUCACUGUUUCUGGAUUUUCCUUUAUUUUUCUAUUGUAUAUGUACACUCUUCCUGUUUAACAAAGGAGAUGGAAGAAGGAAAAAAUAACUGCCUUCAGUCAUUCUGCUGGGACUGAAGAUGAGGAAGUUUUGGAUGUUACAUACCAGAGGCAUCAGAUGGGUGCAAGGAGCAUGAAGAUGUCAUUUAUUGAAUAUGAAUGAUUGGUAUAAAGCACAAGUUUACAGCAGUUAUCACUUCAGUGAAGCUCACUUUUGACAAGGCUCAGUGAGAGGAGCAGGGGAACCAUUGUUUACCCUUUGGGUUUUUUCCCACUCAUAGCAGAAAAUGAAAAAAAAUAGAGCCCUGUCAAACAUAGGAGAUCCAUCUCAUGCAGGGUCUUGAAAUAUGGCUUUGUUCCAAACUGGAACAAAGCUCCCAAAUUUCCAAAUAUUCAAUGAAGAAAUUUGUCAGAGAAAAACAAUCUAACCCAUGUUCACAGAAUUAGUUCACUUUGUCAGAACUGAAGGGCUCUGCUUUCACUUUGACUUCCUCAUACUUUUUAUAUAAUGCAUCUAACCUGAUCCUAAAUAAAAUACCUCAUGCAAAACUUUCAACUUCAACACCACUGGAAAAUGGCAUCAUCUGGGGAUCCCACUUUGAAAGAAAAGUUACCAAAAUCUCCAUGGAUAUCUACUGAGAUAGUUGAGAAGUGAAUUUCAGUCCUUUAUUGGUUUGUACUUGCUCGUGCAGAAAACAAGCCUCCCAUCAUAAAACACCAAGAAGCAGGGAGGCCACCUGACAUACACCCAGCCCUGCCCAGUAAUUCCACCCAGCAGUGCCUAAGGAACCCCAGGAAGAUGUGAGGAGGGGUCCUCACAGUGUGGGCUCUGUGCCUCCAACCCACCACUCCAGGUCCCAGACCUUUUCAGAUGAAGGAUGAAGAGUCCUGGCAGACAAGGUUAACAAGUUCCCUUCAUGAUUUGAAUUGUGAUGGACUGUAAGCUGGGUUUCUACAGCCUUGGAAGAUACUCCUGCACACUAGCUUUGAUUUGGAACCAGCAGGAGCAAGGUCAGCAGAUGUGCCCAGCCCACACCAGGUGGGGCUUUUAUGUGUCCUAGAAUAUCUAUUGGCUAUAAUGAAAUAUUUAAUGGCUCCAUUAUCUUUUUUGUAAUUAUUUCCAGUACCUACCUAGAACAUAACCUGGGUGUGUAAGUGGGAAUACAUGUUUGGAAAUGACUGGAGCCAGCCCUGAGAAAUGGGCUGAGCUGCCCCUGCUCAGCUGCCACAGUGUUGAUCCUGUGGGGCUUGUUGGGUUUUGUUUGUUUAGUAAUCAAGCAGGGCCCUUUUUAGUCAUUGUGUAAUCACUGGGGCACAACUUGCUCACAUGUGGUCAUGACACAGCUCCCUCACAAUCCCUCCCUGCUGAGUACAUGAGGUGUGACCUCAGCACAGCCUUGGGGGGCAUUGCUCACCCCCUGCUCCAUGCUGCUCUUGCAGCUCUGCCAGUGCAGUUUAAUCACUGCUGUGGAGCUGUGUGGGAGCUCAAACCACCACAUUGCUCAAAGUAACUCGGUGGUAGAGAGUAGACCUCUAAAAUGCAAAGCAUUAGGGUGGAGAGUUGCUUGACUCCUGCCAUUCAUUUCUUUUUUACAGAGCAUUGAUGCACUGAAACUUCCAUCACAAGGAACUAUCAUUAACUAGUGCACAUUUAUUUGCUUAAGGAGUCUAAUAAUCAAUCAUCAAAUUUUUCCACUUGU